rnacentral:rRNA from 1 species
UUUUAGAAAUUAAUUUAAAGUUUGACCUGCCCACUGAAUUUUUUUAAAUGGCCGCAGUAUUUUAACUGUGCAAAGGUAGCAUAAUCAUUAGUCUUUUAAUUGGGGGCUGGAAUGAAUGGUUGAAUGAAAUAUUAACUGUUUCAAUUAAAUUUAUAGUAGAAUUUUAUUUUUUAGUGAAAAAGCUAAAAUAUAUUUAAAAGACGAGAAGACCCUAUAAAUCUUUAUAUUUUAUUUAUUUUGAUUAUUUAGAUAAUUUUAAUUAUUAUUUUUUAAAAUAUUUUAUUGGGGUGAUAUUAAAAUUUAAAUAACUUUUAAUUUAAAAUUUACAUAAAUUGAUGAAUUAUUGAUCCAUAAAUUAUAUUAUGAUUAUAAAAAUAAGUUACUUUAGGGAUAACAGCGUAAUUUUUUUAGAAAGUUCAUAUUGAUAAAAA